CACUGCCCAGCCCACUGUGAACACUCCAAAACUAUCUGUCAAAGGCCAGCUACUUCCCUAGCCUCGAAGAUCAUCUCUCUGAAAAAUCUUUCUGUAAUUCAGACCAGUGGAGGAAGUGAGGCUCCCUCUGCCCACAGCAAGGAAGUUGGAGGCUGCUCAGACCCUGUUCUGCACAGUACUCUUAACACAGGAAGAAAAGAUGGGACAUCCUGCUCCAUUGUCUCCUCCAAGCCCCCUACAGCUCCUACCUGGAAUUCUGUGAAAACUGCCUAACAAGCCUCUACUCUGUCCUGUAUAAUCCAUAUCUAUGGAGAAGCCAGAACAGCCUUUUAAGAACCAAGGUCUGAUCAUGUGCUGCUCAAGCACACUUCCACUGGUGGCCCGUUGUAUCUAGAAUGAAAUCCCUGCUUUGUCCUAUGGCCAA